UGGGGAAUAUUGGACAAUGGGGGAAACCCUGAUCCAGCAAUGCCGCGUGAGUGAUGAAGGCCUUCGGGUUGUAAAGCUCUUUUAUCAGGGACGAUAAUGACGGUACCUGAUGAAUAAGCACCGGCUAACUUCGUGCCAGCAGCCGCGGUAAUACGAAGGGUGCUAGCGUUGUUCGGAAUGACUGGGCGUAAAGGGAGCGUAGGCGGUUGAGUACGUUUGAUGUGAAAGUCCUGGGCUUAACCUGGGGACUGCAUUGAAUACGGCUUGACUUGAGGUAUAGAGGGGAAGAUGGAAUUGUGUGUGUAGAGGUGAAAUUCGUAGAUAUACACAAGAACACCAGUGGCGAAGGCGAUCUUCUGGCUAUUACCUGACGCUAAGGCUCGAAAGCGUGGGGAGCAAACAGGAUUAGAUACCCGCGUAGUCC
rnacentral:rRNA from 1 species